UACAGAGGGUGCGAGCGUUAAUCGGAAUUACUGGGCGUAAAGCGUGCGUAGACGGUUAUUUAAGUCGGAUGUGAAAGCCCCGGGCUCAACCUGGGAAUUGCAUUCGAGACUGAAUAGCUAGGGUGCGGUAGAGGGAAGCGGAAUUUCCGGUGUAGCGGUGAAAUGCGUAGAUAUCGGAAGGAACAUCAGUGGCGAAAGCGGCUUCCUGGACCAGCACCGACGUCAGGCACGAAAGCCGUGGG
rnacentral:rRNA from 1 species